rnacentral:rRNA from 1 species
AAGGGCACCACAAGAACGCGUGGAGCAUGUGGCUUAAUUUGACUCAACGCGGGGAAACUUACCGGGUCCGGACACACUGAGGAUUGACAGGCGCAAGUAGUUUUAUUUUAUUUUUACUUCGGUAAAAAUAACAAUAUGCUACUAUAAAUAUGCUAGUCCUUUCAUGAUUGUGUGAUAGGUGGUGCAUGGCCGUUCUUAGUUCGUGGAGUGAUCUGUCUGCUUAAUUGCGUUUCAGAAAAUAGGUUCUUAAAGGAAACAUGGUUUUGUGACGUAGAUAUUUUUUUACGUUCGCGUAAAAAUUAUUUACUCACACCAUGUCCAAUGAACCUUGAAGGUAACGAACGUGACCGCAACCUCUUGUUGCCUUCCUUCCAUCUUUUGAUGGACUAUUGCCUCGCGAUUUUUUCUUUCGGGAAAGUCGUAAGGACCAAUAGAGUGGGGUGCUUUAACUAGAGGGACCGCCGACCUUUUUAAAACGGAGGAAGGUUGCGGCAAUAACAGGUCUGUGAUGCCCUUAGAUGUUCCGGGCUGCACACGUGCUACAAUGAUUGUUGCAGUGAGCAUCUUACAAGUUCGCUAUUCCAAUAAAAAGUUUCGGCUUUUUAUUGGAAUUUAUGCGACACACCUACUUCGAAAGUAAGUAGGUAAUCAAUUCGAAGUAACAGUUUCCUUUUGCACAUUAAUGCUUUCAAUAUUUUUUAAAGUAGUAAUGGUUUCGGCCAUUAUUUUAUUUUAUUUUAAAUAUUGAAAGCGUGCUCCUUUAUUUCAUGGUGGGGACAGACCAUUGCAAUUGUUGGUCUCGGUCUUAACUAGGAAUGCCUUGUACGGGUCAUGGUUCAACAGACCACCCGGAAUAUGUCCCUGCCCUUUGUACACACCGCCCGUCGCUCUUACCGAUGGACUUCUCUGUGAGUUUGAGGGACUGGCUUUUUUUGCUAUGGAAACUUAAACGAACAGUGUGGUCUAAAGGAAAGAGAAGUCGAACAAGGCA